GACGAACGCUGGCGGCGUGCUUAACACAUGCAAGUCGAACGGAAAGGCCCUGCUUUUGUGGGGUUCUCGAGUGGCGAACGGGUGAGUAACACGUGAGUAACCUGCCCUUGACUUUGGGAUAACUUCAGGAAACUGGGGCUAUUACCCGAUAGGAGCUCCUGCUGCAUGGUGGGGGUUGGAAAGUUUCGGCGGUGGGGGAUGGACUCGCGGCUUAUCAGCUUGUUGGUGGAGUAGUGGCUGACGAAGGGUUUGACGGGUAGCCGGCGUGAGAGGGUGACCGGCCACAAUGGGACUGAGGUACGGCCCAGAAUGCUACGGGAGGCAGCGGUGGAGAAUAUUGCACAGUGGGGGGGAGCGUGAUGCGGCAACGCCGGGUGCGGGAUGACGGCCUUCGGGUUGUGAACCGCUUUCGACUGAGACGAAGCGUGAGUGACGGUAAUGGAUAAAGAAGCACCGGCUAACUACGUG
rnacentral:rRNA from 1 species